rnacentral:rRNA from 1 species
UGGGGAAUAUUGGACAAUGGGCGCAAGCCUGAUCCAGCCAUGCCGCGUGAGUGAUGAAGGCCCUAGGGUUGUAAAGCUCUUUCGCCAGGGACGAUAAUGACGGUACCUGGAUAAGAAGCCCCGGCUAACUUCGUGCCAGCAGCCGCGGUAAUACGAAGGGGGCUAGCGUUGUUCGGAAUCACUGGGCGUAAAGCGCACGUAGGCGGAUCUUUAAGUCAGGGGUGAAAUUCCGAGGCUCAACCUCGGAACUGCCUUUGAUACUGGAGGUCUCGAGUCCGGGAGAGGUGAGUGGAACUGCGAGUGUAGAGGUGAAAUUCGUAGAUAUUCGCAAGAACACCAGUGGCGAAGGCGGCUCACUGGCCCGGUACUGACGCUGAGGUGCGAAAACGCGUGGGGAGCAAACAGGAUUAGAUACCCUGGUAGUCCACGCCGUAAACUAUGGAUGCUAGCCGUUGGGCAGCUUGCUGUUCAGUGGCGCAGCUAACGCUUUAAGCAUCCCGCCUGGGGGAGUACGGUCGCAAGAUUAAAACUUAAAUGAAUUGACGGGGUCAUAGCUGUUUCCU